rnacentral:rRNA from 1 species
UUGAACGCUGGCGGCAUGCCUUACACAUGCAAGUCGAACGGCAGCACGGGGCGAACCUGGUGGCGAGUGGCGAACGGGUGAGUAAUGCAUCGGAACGUGCCAUUGAGUGGGGGGUAACGUAGCGAAAGUUACGCUAAUACCGCAUAUUCUGUGAGCAGGAAAGCAGGGGAUCGCAAGACCUUGCGCUCUUUGAGCGGCCGAUGUCAGAUUAGCUAGUUGGUGAGGUAACGGCUUACCAAGGCGACGAUCUGUAGCGGGUCUGAGAGGAUGAUCCGCCACACUGGAACUGAGACACGGUCCAGACUCCUACGGGAGGCAGCAGUGGGGAAUUUUUGGACAAUGGGGGCAACCCUGAUCCAGCCAUGCCGCGUGAGUGAAGAAGGCCUUCGGGUUGUAAAGCUCUUUCGGCCGGGAAGAAAUCGCAUGGGUUAAUACCCUGUGUGGAUGACGGUACCGGCAUAAGAAGCACCGGCUAACUACGUG